rnacentral:rRNA from 1 species
UACAGAGGGUGCAAGCGUUAAUCGGAAUUACUGGGCGUAAAGCGUGCGUAGACGGUUAUGUAAGUCGGGUGUGAAAGCCCCGGGCUCAACCUGGGAAUUGCAUUCGAGACUGUGUAGCUAGGGUACGGAAGAGGGAAGCGGAAUUUCAGGUGUAGCGGUGAAAUGCGUAGAUAUCUGAAGGAACACCAGUGGCGAAAGCGGCUUCCUGGUCCAGUACCGGACGUUCAGGCAUCGAAAGCCGUGGGGAGCAAACAGGG